GUGGGGAAUAUUGCGCAAUGGGCGAAAGCCUGACGCAGCAACGCCGCGUGGAGGAUGAAGGUCUUCGGAUUGUAAACUUCUGUCUAGUGAGAAGAAAGACUUGCUAAUAAUACGAGCAAGGGAUGACGGUAUCACUAAAGAAAGCACUGGCUAAUCUCGUGCCAGCAGCCGCGGUAAUACGAGAGGUGCAAGCGUUAUUCGGAAUUAUUGGGCGUAAAGGGUGCGUAGGCGGUAUGAUAAGUCUGUUGUUAAAUGUCCUGGCCUAACCAGGAAAAUGCAAUGGAAACUAUUGUUCUAGAGGGUGAGAGAGAGAAGUGGAAUUCCAGGAGUUAGCGGUCAAAUGCGUAGAUCUCUGGAGGAACACCGAUGGCGAAGGCAGCUUCUUGGCUCAUUUCUGACGCUGAGGCACGAAAGCGUGGGGAGCAAACAGGAUUAGAAACCCCUGUAGUCC
rnacentral:rRNA from 1 species